rnacentral:rRNA from 1 species
GAUCCUGGCUCAGGACGAACGCUGGCGGCGUGCUUAACACAUGCAAGUCGAACGAGAAUCUACUGAAAGAGUUUUCGGACAAUGGAAGUAGAGGAAAGUGGCGGACGGGUGAGUAACGCGUGAGGAACCUGCCUUGAAGAGGGGGACAACAGUUGGAAACGACUGCUAAUACCGCAUGAAGCAUAGGGGUCGCAUGAUCUUUAUGCCAAAGAUUUAUCGCUUCAAGAUGGCCUCGCGU